GACGAACCGAGCGAACGUUGUUCGGAAUAACUGGGCUUAAAGGGCGCGUAGGCGGGCUGUCAAGUCUGGGGUGAAAUCCCGCGGCUCAACCGCGGAACUGCCUCAGAUACUGACGGCCUCGAGGGGGGUAGGGGCGAGCGGAACUAAUGGUGGAGCGGUGAAAUGCGUUGAUAUCAUUAGGAACUCCGGUGGCGAAGGCGGCUCGCUGGACCUCUUCUGACGCUGAGGGACGAAAGCUAGGGGAGCGAACGGG
rnacentral:rRNA from 1 species